rnacentral:rRNA from 1 species
UACGUAGGCAGCAAGCGUUGUUCGGAGUUACUGGGCGUAAAGGGUGCGCAGGUGGCCGUGCGCGUGGGGAGUGAAAUCGACCCUGGCUUAACUGGGCGGGGGCUUUCCAGACGGCGCGGCUUGAGCCACAGAGGGGGGGCGUGGAAUUCCGGGUGGAGCGGUGAAAUGACGUAGAGAUCCGGAGGAACACCGACGGCGUAGGCGGUUCUCUGGGCAUUACCUGA